UCUCCCCCUAUGUUCUGCACUACUCUUUACCUGUACCAGGGUUAGCUGCUGCUUUGGACACUAGAAAAUCUACACUUGACAUGUGUGAAUAGCACUUACACUAUGAAGAAAAUACACCGUUCACCAGAGGUCUUCUGUCUAAAGUGAUCAUUCUCCCAACAGAGGAUUUUUUUGUUUGAUGCCGCUGCACACUGUAAAUUCAUUAUUGCCAACCCAUUUUCCAGAAGUAUUACAUCAUUAAAGAAAUAAGGCUUGGCGGAGAAGGGAAAAUAUGCAUUAAAUGGACAAUCCUAAAUGAACUUUGCAAUAGCGGGAACUAAGUUAUCCACGGACAAUA